ensembl:snRNA U1 U1 spliceosomal RNA
GUACUUACCUGGUAGCGGGGAUACCAUGAUCACAAAGGCCGUUUUCCCAGGGUAAAGUUUAUCUGUUGUAUGCCGGAUGUGCUGACCCCUGCGAUUUCCCCAAACGUGGGAAACCGGACUGCAUAAUUUAUGGUAGUGGGGGACUGCGUUCGUGCUCUCCACUG